UAGCCUAGUGGUUACGGCUAUGGAUCGCCAAUCCGGAGACGGCGGGUUCGAAUCCCGU
rnacentral:tRNA from 1 species